AUUUUUGUGGUGUAAUAAAGCACAUUAAGAUUUUCGUUCUAAAGGAGUAGUUGUUAAUAUUACCAAAAAUA
rnacentral:tRNA from 1 species